UACGGAGGGUCCAAGCGUUAUCCGGAUUCAUUGGGUUUAAAGGGUGCGUAGGGGGCUUGUUAAGUCAGUGGUGAAAUCUCCGAGCUUAACUCGGAAACUGCCAUUGAUACUGAUGAGCUUGAGUGUAGUUGAAGUGGGCGGAAUAUGACAUGUAGCGGUGAAAUGCUUAGAUAUGUCAUAGAACACCAAUUGCGAAGGCAGGUUACUACUAAGGGAUUGACGCUGAUGGACGAAAGCGUGGGUAGCGAACAGG
rnacentral:rRNA from 1 species